rnacentral:rRNA from 1 species
AGCGAACGCUGGCGGCAGGCUUAACACAUGCAAGUCGAGCGGGCGUAGCAAUACGUCAGCGGCAGACGGGUGAGUAACGCGUGGGAACAUACCUUUUGGUUCGGAACAACACAGGGAAACUUGUGCUAAUACCGGAUAAGCCCUUACGGGGAAAGAUUUAUCGCCGAAAGAUUGGCCCGCGUCUGAUUAGCUAGUUGGUGAGGUAACGGCUCACCAAGGCGACGAUCAGUAGCUGGUCUGAGAGGAUGAUCAGCCACA